AUGGUCGACCCGGUGCCGCACCUCACCGACGAAAUCAUGGAGGAGAUCUUCCUCCGCCUGGCCACCCCGGCCGCGCUCGCCCGCGCCUCAACCGCCUGCCCCCGUUACCGCCGCGUCAUCACCCAGCGCUCCUUCCUCCGCCGCUACCGCAAGCGCCAACCGCCGCCGCUCCUCGGACUCCUCAGCGAGCAAGACGGCUUCCACCCCGCUCAGGCGCCCCACCCCUCCGCCCCGCUCGCGCGCGCCCUCGCCGUCGCCGCUGAUUUCACCUACUCAUUCGUCCCCAAGCUCAAAUUUGGUAACCCACCGUUCCCUGCCGACUGGUAUCUCCGCGACGCCCGCGUCCUCCUCGACGAUAGACCAGGCAAAACCACCACGGCCAUGUUCAGAAACCUUGCGGUUUGCGACCCGCUGUCACGGCGCUACGUGUUGAUUCCAUCCAUACCCAAGGACCUGGCCGUCCAGGAAGAGAAAUUUGUUCAGAUCGAGACCAUGCUCGCUCAAUCGGUGACGAUGAGGAUGAGACGGCCUUCAGAGUUAUCUGCCCGGCGCACUACACCAGCAAAUUGGUUGCAUUUGUCUUCUCUUCCGUCACUUCAAAUUGGUGUAUAG
rnacentral:rRNA from 1 species